UCACUCGCAUUUGUAGUUUCACGCGAGCGGCUGGAACUUCAAACAGUUCCGAUUCGCAGGAAAACUUUACGCAGUAAAAGCGUGGAUGCUCCUCAGCGCUUCAGCUGUUGGAGCCAAUCUGUCAUUAGGCGGAGACGGGCGUCACUAACAUAACACCUACAGGACUUCUAGUUGUUAUUUACUCUCAGACGUUUUCUCUCUUCCGUCUCAUUAUCACACGGUAUCACCCGUUUCAUGCCUGCGCCCUACUGCAGAGGCACCUGUGUCUUUUCCUCUUUUACUUCUCAGCUGUUUGAGUCAGAGAGCAGCACCUACACCUACCUGCUGGCAGACGCACAGACCAAGGAGGCCGUGCUCAUCGACCCGGUUCUGGAGACCAUUGACAGGGACCUGAAGCUCAUAGAGGAACUGGGGCUGGAUCUCAAAGUGGCAGUGAACACCCACUGCCACGCCGACCACAUCACCAGCACUGGGCUGAUGAAGAAAAGAGUGGUGGGGCUGCAGAGUGCCAUCUCCAAGUUCAGUGGAGCUGCUGCAGACAUCCAGCUGUCAGAGGGAGACCACAUCACCUUUGGGAAACACCGUCUGACAGUGAGGGAGACUCCAGGACACACUGACGGCUGUGUGACGCUGGUGUUGGGGGAUCAGAGCAUGGCUUUUACUGGGGACGCGCUGCUGAUCAGAGGCUGCGGCAGGACGGAUUUCCAGCAGGGCAGCGCUGAGAAGCUCUACGAGUCCAUUCACCAGAAGAUCUUCACUCUGCCUGAGAGCUGCCUGCUCUACCCAGCACACGACUACAAAGGGCCUGACGCUGUAUUUGUCUCCGUGCAUCAGGUCGAACCGUGUCCACGGUGGGUGAGGAGCGGAGGUUCAACCCACGUUUGACCAAGAGCCUGCAGGAGUUUGUGAGCAUCAUGAACAACCUGAACCUGUCCCUGCCAAAGAAAAUGGCUGUUUCAGUUCCUGCUAAUCUGGUUUGUGGAAUACAAGAUUAAACAUCCAGCAUUUUAUUACAUUUUAGUAACAUUUUAGCAUUUAUGUUUCCCAUAAGUGCCUACUGUAAAAAUGAAAAUUAUGGAUGUUAUUGUUUUGAUAUUAUAAAUGAUUAACUGGUUCCCUUAUGCCUUUUGCCAAAGACUCACACUCAUAUGCACCUCAUGAAACCUGUUAAAUAAAACUAUCCACUCUCAUGC